AAAAAAAAAAAAAAAAAGAACUUUUCACUUUGUAAUCUUUAAUAAUCUCAGAGAUCGGAUCCCUCGUAUCGCGUCGGUUAUCGCGUUGGAUUCGCCCGAUGAAACGAAACGGGGCGAAAAAUCGGAAGGUACGAGAAAUCGGGUGGUACGAGAAAAGAAAAAAAGAGGAGAAAAUAAAUUACGAUCGCAAAUCGUUGAAUGGAAAACGUCGCGCUUCCUUUCAGCGUUUUUAUCGGAAAAUAUAUUUCCCAAUAUAUUGCCCUUCUCGUUCUUCUCCUCCCCCCUCCCCCCACCCUCCUCGAUACGUUUUCUUCGAUUAUUUUCCGGGACACGUAUAUACACGUACACGUACACACACGUACACAUACACGCGACUGUGUAAAUUAUACAUAUUGAACAAAUGAAUUAUAUUCCUAUUGUUAUUAUGAUUUAUUAUUAUUAUUAUUGUUGUUGUUGUUGUUGUUAUUAUUAUUAUUAUUAUUAUUAUUAUUACUAUUAUUAGAUAUAUUCUCUAACUUAUAGAAAUAAUCGCGAAUUGUUAUAUACGUGUUAUACGAAUUUAUUAAAUUUCAAUCCGCGAAUUAAUUUCGUUUAAUUAAACGAUUUUCUCUUAUGUAAUCUUUCCAGCUAGUUAAGAUAAUUAAGCGAAUUAACUUUUUUUUUUUUUUUUGCGGACACGGGUAAAAAAAAUUUUAACGAACGGUAACAAACGUUCGAUUUCUAGUCCCACACAUUUCCAUACAGGUAUAAUGCUUAUACGUAUGUAUAACGUGUGCCUAUAUACGGAGAAAAAUUAUACGAUAUAUAUAUGUAUCGUAUAUUUGCUCCUCGCUAAAUUAAUUGGUUAUCGAAGCACGAACUCGAAGCGCGUUUUCUUCUGAAUGCCAUUUAUUCACUUCCAAGAACGUGCUCGGUGAGCUUGACGGUGGUAGUGAGAUUAUAACGAUCGUAAGUAAUUUUAUAUGACGUGAGGAACUGCAACAAUAUUGACGUUGUUGUUUGCGAAAAAAGAGAGAAAAAAAAAGAAGAAAAAAAAACACGUACAGACGAUUAGGAUAAUGCUAGGAUGAUCGACGGUACGGUCGAUCGAAUCGAGUUAUUCUUGCCUCGUUGUUAUCGAUCGAACGAAGCGAGUAUAGGCAGUGGAAAGACAGUGGAACGGUUAUUUCAUCACCGGCACACACCUCGUAUUUUCCUCGCUUUUUUCGAUUCGUUGAUUCGAUUCGAGUUGUUCGCUCGAAACGACGAAAGGGCGAUGCUUCGGUAUUCCUCGAUGAAGCUCUUCUCGUGCCUGAAAUCCUCGCUCCGGUGAUAUACGCCUUUUCUAUCGAGCUCGUUUCGGCUCGCGUCAUCGAGGACGAAAACAAUGAAACGACGAACGAAACGUUCGAUCGAUUUUGCAAAGUCGCGAAAAAUUUUUUCCUCCUCGAUCUCUCUUUUUUUCGGUCGGUUGCCAUGCCGACGCUCGAUAGUAGGAUUAAUUAUUACUUGUCGAUUAAUUAAGCGUAAUUGUCGUAGAUAUAUAUAUAUAUAAAUAUAUAUAUAUACAUACAUAUACACACAGACACACACAUAUACACACACGUUUCACGUUCGCGACUCGACAGUGACAGUGGAACCGUUCGACAAUCGAAACUGUUCGAGUUUACGAGUGCGUUUCGCUUGGAACAUUAACUCUACACAUUAGCAACCAUCCUCGAUGAAUUUUUUCACUCUUCGAGAACAAAGCGUACACGUUAACAUAGCGCGCACGCACACGGACUCGUACCCUUCCAUUCGGGACCUUUGUUAUCUCUCGCUCGUAACGAUCUUCCAUUUUAAAAAAACCUUUGCCUCCUUUGUCCUCCGAUGAUCGUCCGUUGGCGGACAAAGGAUACGAGUUCGUGAAUUUCGAAAGAAGAAGAGAGAAAAGGAAAAGAAAACAAUCGAGCGUAUUAAUUACGUGUUCCAAUAAAUAAGCGAUUAUCGUAACGUAAUUCUCGCCUCCUUUAUUCAACGAGUGAUUCAAUCAUAUUCUUCUAUCCACGAAUUUACGUAAUCUCGUCAAUAUCCCACCGCUCUUCUCUUAUUCGAUUCGAUUCAAUUCUAGAAUCACACGCACCUCGUUACGUGUUACGAUUCCCCUGUUCGUCAAGAUGACUUUUUUUUUUUCUUUUCCAACCAACGAUUCGCGUGACAAAGUGACGAUUUCAACCGAUUUCGAUGAUUUUAAUUUAUCGAAAAAUCCAAAACGAUUAAUGAUAAAUUGCGUUCUGUUUGUAUAGGACAAUAUAUCGAUCUCAGAAAAUAAAAAUUUCUCCAAUUUCACUGAUCAAUUUUUUUUUUUUUUUUGGUAUAUCCCAAAUGUUCUGACACGAGACUACGUAAUCCACGUAAUCGAGAUCUAUCUAUUUUUGUAUCAAAAAGAAAAAAAAAAAAAAAAAAGAAAA
rnacentral:lncRNA from 1 species